rnacentral:rRNA from 1 species
AUUGAACGCUGGCGGCAGGCCUAACACAUGCAAGUCGAACGAGUGGCGGACGGGUGAGUAAUGUCUGGGAAACUGCCUGAUGGAGGGGGAUAACUACUGGAAACGGUAGCUAAUACCGCAUACCAUCAGAUGUGCCCAGAUGGGAUUAGCUUGUAGGUGGGGUAACGGCUCCCCAAGGCGACGAUCCCUAGCUGGUCUGAGAGGCUUACCAGCCACACGUGAACUGAGACACGGUCCAGACUCCUACGGUAGGCAGCAGUGGGGAAUAUUGCACAAUGGGCGAAAGCCUGAUGCAGCCAUGCCGCGUGUGUGAAGAAGGCCUUCGGGUUGUAAAGCACUUUCAGCGGGGAGGCGUUACCCGCAGAAGAAGCACCGGCUAACUCCGUGCCAGCAGCCGCGGUAAUAC